UUCCCUGAUGAACUCGUGUUAUUUCGCUGUGUUCUUUCUGAAUAUUUCAUGUCGAACAUACAUCACCUUGGAGAACUGAUAC
rnacentral:snoRNA from 1 species